rnacentral:rRNA from 1 species
UACGUAGGGUGCAAGCGUUAAUCGGAAUUACUGGGCGUAAAGGGCGCGUAGGCGGAUCUUUAAGUCGGGGGUGAAAGCCCAGGGCUCAACCCUGGAAUGGCCUUCGAUACUGGAGAUCUUGAGACCGGAAGAGGUGAGUGGAACUGCGAGUGUAGAGGUGAAAUUCGUAGAUAUUCGCAAGAACACCAGUGGCGAAGGCGGCUCACUGGUCCGGUUCUGACGCUGAGGCGCGAAAGCGUGGAGAGCAAACAGG